rnacentral:rRNA from 1 species
UACGUAGGGUGCGAGCGUUGUCCGGAAUUAUUGGGCGUAAAGGGCUCGUAGGCGGUUUGUCGCGUCGGGAGUGAAAACCUUGGGCUUAACUCAGGGCUUGCUUUCGAUACGGGCAGACUAGAGGUAUGCAGGGGAGAACGGAAUUCCUGGUGUAGCGGUGAAAUUCGUAGAUAUCGGGAGGAACACCAGUGGCGAAGGCGGCGAUCUGGGUAGAUACUGACGCUGAGGUGCGAAAGCGUGGGGAGCAAACAGG